GAGGGUAUAGCUCUGUGCUAGAGCACAUGCUUAGCAUGCACAAGGUCCUGGGUUCAAUCCCCAGUACCUCCA
rnacentral:tRNA from 1 species